GACGAACGCUGGCGGUGUGCUUAACACAUGCAAGUGGAGCGACGAACCAGGGCUUGCCCUGGGGCAGAGCCGCGAACGGGUGAGUAACACGUGGGUAACGUACCCCGAUCACCGGGACAACCCGAGGAAACUCGGGCUAAUACCGGAUGUGGUGCCUGGACUCAAGUCCGGUCACUAAAGGUAGCUUCGGCUUCCGCAUUGGGAGGGGCCCGCGGCCCAUUAGCUUGUUGGUGGGGUCAAGGCCUACCAAGGCAACGAUGGGUAGCUGGUCUGAGAGGACGAUCAGCCACACUGGGACUGAGACACGGCCCAGACUCCUACGGGAGGCAGCAGUGGGGAAUCUUGCGCAAUGCGCGAAAGCGUGACGCAGCAACACCGCGUGAGGGAAGACGGCCUUAGGGUUGUAAACCUCUUUCAGAUGGGACGAAGGUGAUGCGGUGAAUAGCCGAUGUCAUUGACGGUACCGUCAGAAGAAGCUCCGGCUAACUACGUGCCAGCAGCCGCGGUAA
rnacentral:rRNA from 1 species